rnacentral:misc_RNA from 1 species
UCCUGCUUGACGCAGGCAGUCUCGUUAGAGUCCCCGGCAUGACCCGCUGGCAACUAACGAUAAGGGUUUCGCUCGUUAAGGGACUUAACCCGACACUUCACAGCACGAGCUGACGACAGCCAUGCAGCACCUGUGCUAGUUUCACCGAAGCAGCAUAGCCCACUUUCAUGGGUGCAUCCUAGCAUGUCAAACCCAGGUAAGGUUCUUCGCGUUGCUUCGAAUUAAUCCACAUGCUCCACCGCUUGUGUGAGCCCCCGUCAAUUCCUUUGAGUUUUAGCCUUGCGGCCGUACUCCCCAGGCGGCGCACUUAUCGCUUUUGCUACGACACCAAAACCGUCAGAAGUUCUGAUAUCUAGUGCGCAUCGUUUACAGCGUGGACUAC